AAUUCUCCCACUCCAACCGCCCAAGUCCAGGUACAUCAUCAUCGAUCUCACUCAAAGACCUACUUGAUUUUUCAAUUUAUGGACUUUAAAUUGAUUUGAUGGGUUUAAUUGAUUUUAUUUUGUGGGUUUAGGUUUUGAAUAUCAAUUGCUUUCAGAGAAAACCAGAUGGAGAUGAUAAGGUAAAUUUCUUCAUUUCUUUAUGCUUUUAGUUUUUAUGUAGUCAAAAUUAAGCUUCUCUUUGGGCUGAGAUUUGUUUAUCUUUUUGUAUAUUUAUUUCUGAUUAGAGGUUAAUCCUUUGUUCAAUAAUUAGGGCAUUCUAGUUGAAAAAAAAAUUGGAUUUAGCGCCGAUGGUGGUGGCAGAGGCUGUGGGAGCGGGAGAUGAACUUGUGCUAUAUUUUUAAUUAGAGAUUUUAUUAGAGAUUUGUGGAUUGAAGUAUUGGGAGCAAUCUGUUCUUUUAUUGAUUAAUUUUAUGUGGCUUUGAUUGAAAAAUGAGAUUAUUCUAAUUUAAUUUUUUUUGGGAUAAUUUAAAUUAUUUCUAGAAUAUAAAAAGUUUUUUUGUGUUGGUGGCAGUAGCAUGGUAGCGGCAGUGGAAGGGUGGUAGUGGCCGUGCUAGUGGAAGAGAAGAUUGAAAGUGAAGAUGA
rnacentral:lncRNA from 1 species